GAGUCCAGCGUGGUUUCCUCCAGAAAGGGGAUGGAAGCCCCAGGGAGACCUUCCUCCACAGGGCGAAGGGUCUGGAGGGUCUUGGGAUAGGACCAGGAAACUUAGUAGAGCAAUGCCAAGGAAGUUUGAGGCCUUCCUUAGCCAGAAUGAGGGCUUCCAGGCAGGGUGUCUGGAACCUGUCUUCCCAACACGUGGGAAGGGAGGGUGUGUUCCUGGUCUUGCAGGGCUCUAGUAGGUACCAUUUUCUCCGAAAAGGGGACAGCCUAACACCUUCCAUGGGGUGUGAGUGGAAGGAAUAUUUAGAGCCGAAUGAGGGGCUGUAGCUGCAAACCUGCUAGGAUGGGGCUCUGCCUGCAGGUGGACCCCUUUGUGCAGCCGCCUGCUGGCUGUUUACUCGAGCCAGGGGAGGAGUGUGCUGAGCUCGCAAGGAGACUUUGGCCCUUAACCCUUUUGCAGCCUGUGGGGAAACAUCAGGCAUUUGCACCCAUUGGAAUCCAAAGUAGAGCUCAGAGUCUACUCCUUGGCUGCCUCCUAUAUUCCUGGCUCUCUUUUGUGAGGGGUUUGGGCUGGGGGGAGGUUUGGGGGCCAACCCCUCUACAUCUUGCCUAGUGAUUUGGACAUCAAGUCCUGCCCAAAUCUCAAGGUUGCCCUUUUCAUGUCCUGCCCAGAUUCUACCCAGAAAAGACUUAGGAGGAGAAGUUGGUGCUUUGCAUCCUACCCUGCUCUCCUUGGAUGAAGACAUUUUUCUGGAUUUCACAAAGCAAAUAAAAUGUGAUGUUUGCAACUUCCAA